rnacentral:snRNA from 1 species
GUACUUACCUGCCAGGAGAGAUACCAUGAUUCUGAAGAUGGUUUUCUCAGUGUGUGGCUCAUCCAUUGCACUGUGGCUGUGCUGACCCCUGUAAUUUCCCCAAAUGUAGAAAACUACACUGCAUAAACUUUGGUAGUGGGGAACCUGCAUGCACCUAACCCCU